GGUUGAAAAUGAUGAAGAAGUGGAAGGAAGAAGAAGAAAUGAAAACAAGGUUUUUAAUUUGAAAUUUUGUUAAUCCUUGUUUUUGAAUUUCUUCCCUCUAUAAGAGGCAUCAUGUCAGCCA
rnacentral:pre_miRNA from 1 species